rnacentral:rRNA from 1 species
GAUGAACGCUGGCGGCAUGCCUAACACAUGCAAGUCGGACGGGAAGACGUGUUUCCAGUGCCGGACGGGUUAGUAACGCGUAAGAACGUGCCCUUUGGAUGGGAACCACAGCUGGCAAGGGCUGCUAAUACCCCGUAGGCUGAGUAGCAAAAGAAAGAAUCCGCCGGAGGAGGCGCUUGCGUCUGAUUAGUUAGUUGGUGAGUGAAUGGCUUACCACGUCGAUGAUCAGUAGCGGAACCGAGAGGAUGAUCGGCCACACUGCAACUGAGACACGGCCCAGACUGCUACGGGAGGCAGGAGUAGGCAAUUUCGGGCGAAGGGAGUAAGCAAGAUUCAGCAAUGCCGCAUGGGUGAAGAGGGCAUUCGGGUGGGAAAGUACUAUGCUUAGGGAAGAAGAACUGCUUUUCAAGGAGAAGAAGUAAUGACGGUACCUAGGGAAUAAGCAUCGGCUAACUCUGUG